CACCUUUUAAAACUGAUCUUCGUGGACUACCUUAGCAUACUUCUAGACUGUCCUCCAGUAGUCCACUCUGUGUGGCAUUAAAUAUUUAUUUCUGAAAUUUGCCUCCCUAAGCUGGUCUUCCUUAGACAAUUGUAUUUCUUCUUUUUAAAAUUCCAGUGUCAUGAACGUACAGUGUUAUAUUAGCUUCAGGUGUACAAUAGAGUGAUUCUGUGAUCUGUUUACUAAAAUUCCAUAUAUUACUUAGUGCUGCCCAAGAUAAGUGUACUCUUAACCCCCUUCGUCUAUUUCACCAGACCCCCUCCCUGCUCCCCUUUGUUUGUUCUCCAUAGUUGAGAGUCAGGUUUUUGGUUUGUCUCUUUUUCUUUUCCCUUUGUUCAUUUGUUUUAUUUCUUAAAUUCCACCUGUGAGUGCGAUGAUACGGAAUUUGUCUUUCUCUGACUGGCAUAUUUCACAUAGCAUUGUACUCUCUAGAUCCAUCAAUGUCAUUGCAAAAGACAGCAUUUUACUCUUUUUUUUUUCUUUCUUUCUUUUUUUUUUUUUUUUUUAAAGAUCCUGGUUUAUUUAUUUGACAGAGAUCACAAGCACGCCAUGCAGAGACGGGGUGGGGGAGGCAGGCUCCCUGCUGAGCAGAGAGCCCGAUAUGGGGCUCCAUCCCAUCCCAGGACCCUGGGAUCAUGACCUGAGAUGAAAGCAGAGGCUUUAACCCACUGAGCCACCUGGGCGCCCCCAUUUUACUCUUUUUUAUGACUGAGUAAUGUUCUGUUGUAUAUAUAUGCCACAUCUUCUGCAUCCAUUCAUCAGUCGUUUCACACUUGGGCCGCUCACAUAGUUUGGCUGUUGUAAACAGUGCUGCAAUAAAUAUAGGGGUGCAUAUAUCCUUUUGAAUUAGUGUUUCUUUGGAUAAAUAUCCAAUAGUGCAAUUACUGGAUCAUAGGGUAGUUCUAUUUUUAAUUUUUUGAUACUGUCUUCUGGAGUGGCUGUACCAGUUUGCUUUCCCACUAAUAGCACAUCAGGGUUUUUUCCUCCACAUGCAUGCCAGCACUUGUUUCUUGUGUUUUUGAUUUUAGCCAUUCUGACAGAUGUGACAUGAUAGUUCAUUGUGGUUUCAAUUUGCAUUUCCCUGAUGAUGAGUGAUGUUGAGUGUCUGUUAGCCAUCUGUAUGUCUUUGGAGAAAUGUAUGUUCAUGUCUUCUGCCUAUUUUUUACAUUGGAUUAUUAUUAUUAUUAUUUUUAGUGUUGAGUUGUAGAAGUUCUUUAUAUGUUUUGGAUACUAACCCUUUAUCAAAUAUGUCAUUUGCAUGCAUCUUCUCCCAUUGUAGGCUUUUAGUUUUGUUGGUUGUUUCUUUUGGUGUGCAGAAGCUUUUUAUUUUGAUGUAGAUCCAACAGUUUAUUUGUCAACUAGUUUUAAAGGACUUACAUUUCAGUUUGGGAGAUAAUGCAAAUCUAAGAAAUAUGUUUUCAAGGUAGAAGAAAACAAGUAUUUCAGAAGUGCAAAGGAAAAACUCAUUUUAGUAAACAGAUCACAAAAAAACUUUGUGGAGAAAAUGACCUUCAAGCCUAUAUGGGAAGGCAUUCCAUGCAAAGGGAAUACCAGGAACAAAGCAAGGAGGCUGAAAAGAGCAGCCUGUGUUGGGGAAGGGGAAGUUUAAUCUGUUAUUAAGGGGCCUCAGGAGAGAUCAGGCUGGUGUCAGGUUGGUUAAGGGUUGACAGAGAAUAGCAACAUGCCCCAGGCAAGAAGAUAAGACUAUCCUGUAUGCAUGGAAUCCUUUGAAGAGUUUUGACAAGAGACUGACAGAAUCAAAGGAUUUUAUUUCUUUGUCAGAGAGAGAGAGACACACACAGUGAGAGCGCCUGGGCAUAAGCACGGGAAGCAGCAGGCAGAGCAGGCAAAGGAGAAACAGGCUCCCUGCUGAGCAAGGAGCACCAUGCGGGACUCGAUCCCAGAAUCCUGGGAUCAUGACGUAAGCCAAAGGCAGACAUCCAACCACUGAGCCACCCAGGCAUCCCCCAAGAUUGUCUUCUUAAAUAUUGAUCUCACUGUGUAUCUCUUGCAUACUUUCCUAUAGUGAAGAAAUAAGACACCAGUAAGCAAAAUACAGUUGCUACAGUUUUGCCUCAGUUUAUAAAAACUCAUAAUACCAAAAUGGAGAAAGGGUUUAAAUGCUAGUUGGCCUUGGCCUUCUACUUGGACUCCUCAGAAACCUCACAGAAAAAAGGAGCCAAAGCACUGUCUUGGAGGUUUACCAAAUUAUGCUACCAAAAAACCUAUUGGGGAUGUCCCCUGAAUGUGAACUAGAACUUUUCAAAGUAUUUGCCUUGGGUGAAAGAUUUCUUGGGCUAGCAUCUGUUUAAAGAUGUUUAAUGGAUUCAGAGCACUGGAGGAGUGGUUUUUCCUAUGCUCUUGGUCAAGUCUGCGACCCCCACCCACUUUGCCUUCCUAAGAAAAAAAGCGGUAAGGAAAAAGAGCUAGUGACUGUGCCUUGAGGAGGAACCACUGGAUUGCUUGCUUCCCCUUGGUACUAUCUUCCCAAUCAUUGAAGAUUAUAAAAAGAUGAGCGGGAGUGGCAAGCAGGGGGAGUGGCAGGCAAAGGGAGAGGGAGAAGCAGACUCCCCACUGAGUAAAGAGCCUACAAAGAGCCUGAUGGAGGACUCGAUCCCAGGACCCCAGGAUCAUGACCUGAGCGGAAUGCAGACGCUUAACCAACUGAGCCAUCCAGGCAUCCCUGCUUGGUUGUUUUUUAAUCUUAAGACGGUCUAAAGCAAAAAUGGUCAUCUUUCUACUACUAGAAUUUGGGAGAUGAAACAUCAUAGCACCAUUAUUCAUUAAGCUUCAAAUACCACUGUACAUCAGCACACCCCAGUUUGAGAUACACAUGGACAGACCCGGGAGGAGAGUUGCGGAAUUCCAGGCUCAGGGUAACUGAUGAGCGACGCCCUGACAGGUGAAAGGCAGUCUAUGAAGUGCAAAGUGGGGCUCCAUGAAGAGUAGUCGUGUGGACUUUGAUGCCACCAUGAGGAGUUGGAGAUAUACAGUGAACAAGAGCACUGCUGCAGAUUUAGAAGGAAGGAAACCAGGAUUCUGGGUCUCUCUCUGUUACCCCCUUUGCCUUGGGCAAAGCACUUCUGAAAUCUGGACUUGGGUUUCCUUAUCCAGAGAAAGGCAAUACCAGAAUAAGCGAUCAUAAGUUUCCUUUUGGCUGUAGUGUUUUGUGAUGCAUAUUGAACUAAUGAAGGCAUUAGCUUGUUAAUGGUUCCCAUCUUUCAUAAUUUACAAAUUUAAUCUGAAAGGUGCUCUUAACAUGUUAUUAUUAGCCACCUGCUGCUGAUAAUACACAGUAUCAGUUUCAAGGCAAUGAGUAUAUUUAUGCUUGUAAAAAUAUCAUGGGGGCGGGGGUGGGGGUUGGAUGGAAACAAAUAACACUGUGAGAUCUAGGCCUGCCAUCUUAUGGAUCCUGAAUGGAACUACCGAAAUACAGGGUCUGUUGGGAGAUGAUUUUUGCACACAUCAAGUGAAUACUUGCUUACGUGUGUGUAGCUCAUUUCCAAAGGAGUUUGUACAGUAUCUUGAAAUCAAUUUUCUUUGAUAAAUCUUAGUUUUAACCCUCUAGUAAAGAAUUGAAGUAAAUCUAAGAAAGCCCCUUCCUCCAGUUUUAGUUCUUUAUCGAUCCCAAUAAUUAUUUUCCAGGCAAACUUUCAAUUUCUAAAUGGCUAUCUUUUGCUUUUGAAAUUGCUUGGGACAAAAGAAUGUUCUUUGAAAUGAUGGUGCAGAAGUGCUGGUGUACAUAUUUUGUGAAAGCUGUGAUCAGCCAUGAUUGUGAAAUGUAACUGUCUUCUUUUUUUCUUUCCUAUGUAUGAGAAAUGAGAAUAGAUGAUUUUCCACUGCAACUAGGAUGAGCAUUUGUGGAACUUAUCCUUCCAUCGCUUGCGACACACCAUAGCAUUUAUCUUCUGGCAUGUAAAAAAAUUCACAACAUGGAACUUUUGUUCACAGUGAACAUGGGGGAGUUAGACAGUAGCAAACAUUUUUCAACUCUUUCAAAACUGUGACUCUAAAAUAUUGCAAAGAAAAGACCAAGGGCAGAAAGACUGCAUCCCAAGUAGAUGAUGGAAUUUGUCUCUGGUUACACUUUGCUUUGUCCAAAACAGAUCCAAAGAAAAUCGUUCAGCCGCCCUUCCCAAUAAUAUAAUUUGAGACACUGAAAUAUCCUGAAGGUCGCUUCUAACGGGCAUUCUAAAAUUUUCUCUGGGGCAAAAACAGUAAUGCUCCUCUUUAAGGUUGCUGACUUCACGAAGCUUUUUAAACUGUGUUCUACUUCCCACCAGUUUUCAAUUUAUUUUCAGUAUGCUUCAGUAUUUGUGGUGGUUUUAGUCCCUUUCAAGUUGAAACGCGAUUAUGAUAGUACAGUAGAAGGCAGCUCUUGGACGUGGCUGACAGUGCAAGUAUUACUUGAUACAACUUAUUUCCACCAGUAUGGAUCCUUCUUUCUGAAUCUGACAUCAGCAGCUGGUAUCAGUCAUGGAGAACUGUAGCGGAGCAUCCAUUUCAGCUUCUCAGGGCUCCCAUUUUGUUAACUACAGACAUUGGCUGAGAUUACAUUCUUCCUACUGCCUCCUGAAAGGUGAAUGCUUUUCUAAUCAUCUCGUGAUUUAAUUAAUCAGAUCCCCUUUCUUUAGAUUCUUUUCUCUUCUUGGUUUGGCCCUGUUGACUUUCAGGAAAUAAUGCAGUGUUAUGUCCACAUUCAGCGCAAUCAAAGUCUGUGACAUCCACGUUUUCUCAUUUAUUUUGGUUAUGUAUUUUAAGAUUUUUACAAAUAUUUAGAAUAUUUUAAAACCCUACUCCAAGUUAAAAGUAUCUUUUAUAGUUUGGCUCUAAGAGUUUACUUAAAACAUAUUUGAGGAAGCGUUUGGUUUUACUUCCAGUUGCUCAAUUGAUGUUUCAAAAUUUCUUAAUCUACAUUUGUUUUUACUGUUAAAAUAUGCUGUCAUAGGGGUGCCUGGGUGGCUCAGUGGGUUGAGCCUCUGCCUUCGGCUCAGGUCAUGAUCCCAGGGUCCUGGGAUGGAGCCCCCGCAUCAGGCGCUCUGCUCAGCGGGGAGCCUGCUUCCCUUCCCCUCUCUCUGCCUGCCUCUCUGCCUACUUGUGAUCUCUGUCUGUCAAAUAAAUAAAUAAAAUUUUAAAAAAAUAUGCUGUCAUAUAAUAAAAUCAAAUGACUAUACUAAGUGCCAACAAUAUGUCUUAUAGAAAUAAAAUUAUUCACAAAAAUAAAUUACUGUAGGAAGGAUAUCUCACAAGUAAGUUUUGUGAGAUUCACGUUUCACUAAAGAAUGUAAAACUUGAGGGGCAGCUGGGUGGCUCAGUUGGUUGAGUGUCUGCCUUCGGUUCAGGUUGUGAUUCCCAGGUCCUGGGAUCAAGCCCCACAUCGGGGUCCCUGCUUAGUCGGAAGCCUGCUUCUUCCCCUCCCCCUGCUUGUGUUCCCUCUCUCUCUGUUCCUAUCUCUGUCAAAUAAAUAAAAUCUUUAAAAAAAAAAAAAAAAGUAAAACUUGAAACAGUUCUAAUGCUGAAACCCAGUUUUGGUAAGGAAUGCACAUGUGUAAUUUACAUGUUGAAACAGGUGUAUGGCUAUCUGUUAAAUUUUAAAAUUUAGUUUACUUUCUCUCCUGCCACAGGAAUAUUCCGGUGUCCAUAAAUCUAAAGAUAAAAUUAUUGCUAAGCCUUCCACUUAAAUAUACAAUUAAGAUUUUUUAUUUGGGAGGCACCUGGGCAGUUGUUAAGGGUCUGCCUUAGGCUUGGGUCAUGAUCUCAGGGUUCUGGGAUCGAGCCCUGCCACAAGCUCCUUGCUCGGUGGGAAGCCUGCUUCUUGGUCUUCCACUCCCCCUGCUUGUGUUCCCUCUCGCUGUGUCUCUCUCUCUGUCAAAUAGAUAAAAUCUUAAAAAAAAAAAAAAAGAUUUUUAUUUGGGCAAUUAUUUUUGGAAGAACAAGAUACCAGUGUAAAAUUUAAAUUGAGCUACCUGGUUCUAUAGAGUCCGGGUCGUAAGAUAUAUUUGAAAAGCUUAAGUAGUAUUGCUUUAUAAUGGGGUAAGUUGGCUAAAACGGAAGUAAACUAGAUCAUUGUUUAUGAAAGCUCAAGCCUAAGUUGGGGUCAUUGCUGGAGACUUUAUAGAACAUAUUUUUUCACUGGAGGGGGGUUGGGCCAAAUUUUUUCAGUGAUUCCUUCUAACUCUGAAAGUAUAAGAUUUUAGUAAACUUCAGACUAAUACUCUAUGGAAUUUACCAUAACAAUAUCAGAAUGGGAGGUAUUUUGGGGGUGUUUAAUCAUUAUUCUGGAACUAUAUCCUGAGUUGGAGCAAUGGAGGAAAAAUCCCUUUUUAUUAUCGUUAAAGGCAUGUUGACAGUAGAGGGGAAGAAAUGAGCCCCUGUAGCUCUGGUAGUGCUUUAAUAAAGCAGUUAUGGAUAAAAAAACAGUUAUCCAUUUCCAGUUUCUCUUCUGUGUCUGCUGAUCUUCAAGUCCUUUUUGAAUAGAAUGUGAGGACCACUUCUGUCAUUAUUGGGUCAUGGAGUUUGACCUUCCCCCCCAAAAAUGACUGUCCUGUGAUAAGUGGCCACCACAUGUGGCCUUGUAGGAUCUGGAUCAGGAUCAAUGGUGAAGCUUUUUCCAUAUUAAUUCCAGAAGAAAAACCUUGUGAUCAGAACCCUUCGGGUGGGAGCCAGCUGCACAGCUUCCCACUGUCCCCCAACAUCCAUCUGGCUGAAGAGGACAUGAUCGCUUCCCUGGCUGCCAGUGCCUGCCAAAGGUCCAUGAAGCAAGUUAGAUGCACAGGAAGGGGUCUUGUUGACCCUAGAUAGGUUGUGAUCUGGUGGAUUGUUCCUGAUCAGCGGAAGGUGACCCUCAGCAAAGCUAUGACGUAAGAAAGGCUAUUUUUUUUUAUACCGUUCACCCUGGUUCCCACAUUUUUUCGUCACCGAGGGACAGAUUCUAUCUCUAGACUUUCAGAGUCUUGAUUUAGUAUUCUUCACAACACACCCUCUCCUCCAGCUUGCUCUCUGGAAAAGAUGUGUUAUUAAUAUGCUAAUGCAAAUUUAGGUUAAUGUCUGAUCUCUCCCAGGGAUAUAUGCAUUUCAGAGCUUUCUUCUGGUGCAAUGACAACAUCAGCGGUCAGCAGAAGUAUUUGGGAGCCCUUGUGGAAAGUUUGUCACAUUAAACUAUCUCCCGGCCUGCCUUCUCUUAAGGUCUUCACCAUCUGUAGUCUCCUCUCCAGCAUGCCCCUCAUAUGUCUUUCUCUCAUUCAUUCAUUCAGUAUAUUUGCUACAUUUACUUAGUAUAGCAAAUAUCUCUGGAGCACCAGUGUGUGUCCUGUACUAGGCCAGGCCCAGGGUGUACCACAGUGAGCUAAAGAAGGCACGGUCCCUAUGGUAAGGGACUUCGAGUCUACUGAGAGGGUGGGACAAUCAAAUAAUUGCAUAAAUAAAUGUCAAGUUAUAACUGUGGUAAAUGCUACGAAGGAGACGGGGGAACAGAGUGCUGUGUGUAUAUAAUAGGGGAUUCGACCGAGCCAGGAGAUCCCGAACACCCUCCCUGAGAGAGUUUGGCUGAGGGGGAGUUAAUGAGACAAAAAAAAUGGCAGGAUAUCUUGGUUGCCCAGGAUAGCCAUAAUAACAUACCAAACUUUGGGUUGCUGAAAACUUCACAAAUGUAUGGUCUCACAGUUCUGGGCCUAGAAGUCCAAAACCAAGAUGUCAGGAAGGCCAUGCUCUCUGAUGGUUCCAGGAGAGAAUCCUUCCUUGCCUCUUCUUCCUUCUGGUAUUUGCUGGCCAUUGUCAGUGUCCCUUGGCCUGUAGACGUGCCACUCAAGGUUGUCUUCUCCCUUUGUGCCUUCACAUCAUCUUCCCUCUUCGUGUGUCUAUCUCUGUGCCAAACUGCUGCUUUUGAAAAAGAACAUGAGUCUUGUGGGAUCAGGACCCACUCUAAUGACCUCAUUUCAAUUUGAUUACUUCUGCCGAGACCCUGUCUUCAAUGAGGUCACAUCCUGGGGUACUGGGGGUCGAACUUUAGCCUCUCUGGGGGCCCCAGUUCAACCCAUAACCAGGUAAAGAGUAGAAGAUUGGAGUAUUCUAGGCGAGGUCCUUUGGUGGGAGGGAGCAUGGCCUGUGUGGUGUGGAGAAUGAGUGGGAAGUGUGGUAUGAGAAGAAGCUGGAAAGGACGUGAGAUGAGUUGUUAGGCCGACGUUAGGGAUCUUGGUCAUAAUGUAAAAGCAUCAGUCUAUAACGUUACUGGGGGAUUUCAGCAGGAAUAGGCCUGAUCAGAUUUGCAGUUUGCAAAAAUUCACUCUGGCUACAAUGCGCAGAAUGGGUUAGUGAAGCAGGAACAGAUGCAGAUGUAGCAGUGAAGAAGCUAUGCAGUAGGGCGGCGAGAGGAAGAGGUGUGGAGGGCAGUGGUCAUAGAAAGUCAAAUCAUCACGCCUUGGUGCUAGGUCAGACGUGGCAUGGAAGGGGAAAUGGUCAGGGAUGAUUCAUUCCUAGAUUUCCAACUCCUUUGCUGGAUGCAUGUUGGGGGACACUGAAGAAGAGCCUGGUUAGGGGGCAAAAUUGCAAGAUGUUUGUGGACAUGUUGGGCUUAGAGUAUACCGAGUACAGCUGUCAAAUAGGCAUCUGUACGUCUGCAGCUUAGAGGAAAGGUCCUAGCUGAAGAUGAAAGUCCAAGUCAUUGGCAUGUAGGUGAUAUUGAAGGUUUUUUUUUUCUUUUUCUUUUUUAAUGGGAGAGCCUUCAGCUGCUGAGAGUGGCAGCUAAGGGGGAAAGUUCGAACAUUUGAGCCAGAGAAAGGUCAUCGGAUGCUUACAGCAGGAGAAGACAGAAAAGGUGGCCCUAGGUGGAAGAGGAGACGUUUCCUUCCUUAGUCAGACUCUCUAGGAUUUUCCCCUCCCUGGCUUUCCUGUGUGACAAAGCAAAGUGGACUUUCCCUCCUGUCACAGAUAGUCCUCAGCCCCAGGCUGAUGCUACAGGCUGGGACAGGUGUUUUCUACUCAUGUGUUUGAUAGUGUCUAAUCUGACAGCGGCUAUAAAUACAAGAGGAACUGAAGGCCACGUCUUGAGUAAUUCAGUUUUCAUCUACCAGUAAAUCACAAGAUAUGUCAUGGUAUCAAAAUAGAUGAUCAUUUCCACUUUUAAAACUAGAACUUUGGAUUUUUGGUCACUUCAAAGCACACCUUUUCUAUUUUUCUUCUCGGGUUGUAAAAGAAAGUUAUAUAAUUUUUUUUUUAAUGCCAUGGUAUAGCCAAGUCCAACCCAGAACAAAGUCCAUCUAGUCCUCUUUCUCCAUCUGGGUGAUGUUUCAUUUUGUUCUAUUCAUCCUUCCUAGCUCCUUUUGUUUUGUUUUGUUUAAAUUCGGGACUCUCUUGGUUCUUAAUAUAAAACUUUCUGGGCUGCCUCUAUGUUUUCUUGUUCUUAUGUAUCCCAUUCUGCAUUUCCUGUAUGAAACGCCAUGUCCCAGGUAUGCAUUCGUGGGCUGGCCUUCAGCUGCACCUGCCUGGGCGUGUUGAAAUUACUGAUAAGAAAGACCGAGCCAUUUGGCAACUCUGGAACACUAGUUCAUACUCGUGUUAAGUGGCUUAGGAUUUCCAUGAAAAUCUUCCUUUUUUGUAUUUUUACUUUUAUCUCAAAAAAAUGGCAUAAACAUUUCCUGAAGAUAUUCUUGUUGUAAAGGAUUUUUAAAAAUACAGAAGUAUUUAAAGCAAGCUGUAAAAAAAUUGUCUGCUAUCCCUUUUCCCAACAUUCUCCCUAUUAAUUCCAUUUGCUACUUCCAAAGUGGGAUUUGCAUCUCUAAUACGAUUUUUUGCCAUCUUUCUCCUGCCCCUCUUCCCUCCCUCUUAUUCUUUUUAAUCACUGCAGAGGACACCAUAAUAUAGGUAUAUCAUUAUGUAAUCAAUUUUGUACUUUUUUUUUUUCUGUAAUUGAUAAUGUUGCAGCAGACAGUGUUACCCAUAGAUUUUUCUCCAUAUGUGAAUGUACUUCUUUAGGUUAGAUUCAAAGGAGCAGUAUCCUGGGCAAAUGCAUUUAAAUUUUUGGAAAAUGUCUUCCGGCACCCUUUCUCCCCACCCCCACCCACUUCUAACCAUGUUGCUCUAGAACUCCCUGUUCUGGUUUGACUAGUCUUCCUAGCUUUAGGAAUGAGGUGCCCAGGGUGCUGGGGGUUGGGUGGGCAUUUUGGCAACCACUGCUGGCGUAUUCCCGUUCCCUCCGAGAACCAAGAAACCUCGCAAAUGUGGCAAAAGCAAAGGAUCUCAGAAAAAGCACCAACACCUGUGUUCUAGAGAGCAGAAAUCUAAAAUUCUGGGCUUUGAAGGAGGACACAACACCUGCUAUACCCGCUCAGUUUCUUUAAAUGGAAAUUAACUUAUAAGGCUUUACCCAAGUGAUAUAAAUUUUAUAUAUUCUAGAGUUGGCCUUGAUUUUUCUAAACCUGACACCAAAACUAGAAAUAGCAAAACAUAAUUAAUUGAUUUGACUAAAAGGAAAUUUAUAAAAACUUUCUAAAAACUUUCCAAAGGCAAGAGAAACCAAUAUAAACAAAAAUUUAAGAUUAAAAAAAAAAAACCUGAGACAAUAUAUUUAAUAUGUUUAUGUACAUAUAAAGAAUUCUUACAAUCAGAAAAAGACAAACACUCCAAUAGGAACCUGGGCAAAAGGUCAUGGUUAAGCAAUUCACCAAAGAGGAAAAUAUGAAGAGCUAUAAGUAUUUAAAUAAUAAAUUGGUAUAAUAUUUCUAGAGCUCAUCAGCUUUAGGUAAUAAAUAAAUCAUGUAUAUUAAAAAAGUUUUUACUCCCUUAUGAUGUAGGAAAACGUUGGAGUUUCAAGCUGAUGGCCAAGAAAGAAUUCUUGAGGUGUUUUUGGUGCAAACAUGUGGUUUUAUUAAACCCCGGGGACAGAACCAAUGGGCAGAAAGAGCUGCACUGUGGUCAUGAGGAG